rnacentral:rRNA from 1 species
CAUUAUCGAAGCACUCAGGCAAAGGCUGUGGCUGGCCGAAUGAAAGGCAUGUGCACGUCUGAGCCAUUUCAUCCACAAACACCUGUGAACCUGAUGCGGAUUGUCUUCGAAAGAGGUUGUCCGUGCAUUUUACCUACCACGCAUGUCUUUGAAUGUAAAGAAAGGACCUCCUUUGAGGUAUAAAUGCAUAUAACUUUCAACAACGGAUCUCUUGGCUCUCGCAUCGAUGACGAACGCAGCGAAAUGCGAUAAGUAAUGUGAAUUGCAGAUUUUCAGUGAAUCAUCGAAUCUUUGAACGCACCUUGCGCUCCUUGGUACUCUGAGGAGCAUGCCUGUUUGAGUGUCAUUAAAUCAUCAACCUCUGGUCAGAUUUUAAAUGUCUGAGGAGGCUUGGACUUUGGAGCGUGCUGAUCUUGAAGUGUCUCAGCUCCUCUGAAAUGCAUUGGCAGAGGUUCAUUGGUCUCUCUCCAACCCUUUUGGUGUGAUAGUCAUCUUGUCGUCACCAUGUUGGUAGUGCAGGCUGCUCUCUGCUUUACGAUCCAUUCUUAUGGGUGUUGUUAUAAUCAUUGACCUCAAAUCAGGUAGGACUACCCGCUGAACUUAAGCAUAUCAAUAAGCGGAGGAAAAGAAACUAACAAGGAUUCCCCUAGUAACUGCGAGUGAAGCGGGAAAAGCUCAAAUUUAAAAUCUGAUGGUCUCGUGACCAUCCGAGUUGUAAUCUGGAGAAGCGUUUUCCGUGUUGGACCAUGUACAAGUCUUCUGGAAUGGAGCAUCAUAGAGGGUGAGAAUCCCGUCUGUGACAUGGACUGCCAAUGC